AUUGAACGCUGGCGGCAUGCUUUACACAUGCAAGUCGAACGGUAACAGGUCUUCGGAUGCUGACGAGUGGCGAACGGGUGAGUAAUACAUCGGAACGUGCCCGAUCGUGGGGGAUAACGCAGCGAAAGCUGUGCUAAUACCGCAUACGAUCUACGGAUGAAAGCGGGGGAUCGCAAGACCUCGCGCGGACGGAGCGGCCGAUGGCAGAUUAGGUAGUUGGUGGGAUAAAAGCUUACCAAGCCGACGAUCUGUAGCUGGUCUGAGAGGACGACCAGCCACACUGGGACUGAGACACGGCCCAGACUCCUACGGGAGGCAGCAGUGGGGAAUUUUGGACAAUGGGCGCAAGCCUGAUCCAGCCAUGCCGCGUGCAGGAUGAAGGCCUUCGGGUUGUAAACUGCUUUUGUACGGAACGAAAAAGCUCUCUCUAAUACAGGGGGUGAAUGACGGUACCGUAAGAAUAAGCACCGGCUAACUACGUG
rnacentral:rRNA from 1 species